rnacentral:rRNA from 1 species
GUAGGUGGCAAGCGUUGUCCGGAAUUAUUGGGCGUAAAGCGCGCGCAGGCGGUUCUUUAAGUCUGAUGUGAAAGCCCACGGCUUAACCGUGGAGGGUCAUUGGAAACUGGAGAACUUGAGUACAGAAGAGGAAAGCGGAAUUCCACGUGUAGCGGUGAAAUGCGUAGAGAUGUGGAGGAACACCAGUGGCGAAGGCGGCUUUCUGGUCUGUAACUGACGCUGAGGCGCGAAAGCGUGGGGAGCAAACAGGGAUUAGAUACCCUGGUAGUCCACGCCGUAAACGAUGAGUGCUAAGUGUUAGGGGGUUUCCGCCCCCUUAGUGCUGCAGCUAACGCAUUAAGCACUCCGCCUGGGGAGUACGGCCGCAAGGCUG